rnacentral:lncRNA from 1 species
AUUUUUUUUAUUAUUUUUCUUUGAGAAUGAAGCAUUUUAUGGUUUGGGUUUGUUACAGUGAUGAUGAAAUUGCAUAUCUUUUCCUUUACAAAACAAGUGGUGCACAUUGAUUCAACUUUAGAAGGAGAGUGUUUUAUAUUUUUUUUUUUUCGAAAUGUGCAUGAUUCAUGGUCCAGCUAGGUUUCAUCUAGGUAGCAUUUAUUUUCAUUUAUCACUUUACGUUUUUUUAGGUGUUGUCACAUCAUGAUAUUUGUGAGUUUGUUUUAUAAUUUCCUUGAUUGAAAUAAAAUGAGCAUUUCAUUUUUUUAGUUUGCAUUUUAAUAACUAUAAUUGCAUUAUUCAGUUUUAUAUUUUCUUCUAUUUGAAUGUUGUCUAAAGUUUUU